CUUAGGAAUGGAGACAAAUGAUUUUCCCAGGUUUAAUUUUUCUUCACUUCUGAAAAUUAGCAGGUUUUUGUUUGUUUUGUGUUUUUUUUUUUUUUUUUUUUUUUCCUCUGUAAGCUUUCACUGAGAUGAUUGAUUUUUCAAGUAGUGAAGGUUUUGUUUAUUUCGGUGUAAAAUCUCUUGCAGAAGUUACUGUUGGAAUUUGCACACUUCAAAUGUUUUGCAACAAUGUGAUUUAACUGAACUUAGAGAUAACAAAGAAUGAUUAAAGGUAGGUUGUUCCUGUAACCCAGAAUUUUAAUUUACAGAAUAUUCAGAAAUUUUCGGUUUAUUACAGAUAAAUCCUUGUGUUAUAAAUGUGAAUUGAUAAAAGCCAUAUGAUACUAACAUAGCUGUAACUAAACUGUUGUCUGUAGAACAGUUAGUGGUAGAGUAAGGAAGAAAAAAAAUGGUAAUUGUUUAAAAUGCAGUAUUUUAGUAUUCAAGCUAAAAGGUUAAUCUCUGCCAGUUGUUCAUUAAUACACCUUUUUCAAAUAGUGCUGUAGUUCUGAUACUAGAGUAACAGAUGUUACAGAAACAAGGAAUCUGAACUGAGUCCAAUUAUAAUGAUCUGCUCUUGCUGCUGGAAGAGAGAGGGGGCCAAGUCACAGGAUAUGUAGUUCAGCCACAAUUGAUAGCCUUCAGGAAAGAACGAGGGUAUUAGUGUUCCAAGCUAUGGCUUUUGUGAGACAGGAUCAGAGUGUAACACUUGGUGAGCUUACUGGUCAGCUGGUUAGAUCAGGUACAGAACAUCCUGCUUGGUAGUGUGAAUGUUAUCAUGCCAAAAGGACAAGCCUUCGUAAACUUCAGUUAUCACCUGUGGGAUCUCCAUCUCUCUUGCACUCUUCAGCUGCUGUUAAUUACUAUAGCUUAUAUCCAGUGAAGAUCUGUGGUGUGGAGCCUGAAUUCAUGCUGGAUCAGUGAUUAGGACACAGGAAGAGGAAAGCAGGUCUGAGCUCUUAUUUCAGCCACUGACUCACCAUGACUUCAGACAAGUCACUUAAUAGGUACUUGCCUGUGUUUUGUCCUAUUUAGUAAGGUUGAUGUUAAUCAAAACACUGCAAAAUUUGUGGACACAGUGAUUUAUAAAUACUUAUUUUUCAUGCCUGCUGGUAAAACUGUGGUUUUAGAUGUAGACUAUUUUUACUUGUAAGGUUAUUUUUCAUUUAACCUUUUAUGCAGUAAAUAGCUAUACCAAUGAAUUAUAAAACCUUAAAGU
ensembl:lncRNA